rnacentral:lncRNA from 1 species
UUUUCUUCAUUAGCAAUGUGGGACUUACAUUGCAAUCAAUCCCAACAAUCUCCACCUUGAUUGUAAUGGUCUUCAAUCUUCAUUGUCUACACCGACAAUCAUUAUCUUAUGCUUCCAUUGUGUAUACCGACAACCAUUGUCUUCACCGACAAUCAUAAUUCUCAUUGUCUAUACCGACAAAUUAAAUUAUCAUACUCCACCAUAAAAAGUACACUCCACUUGGAACUAAACCAUCCCAAGAAUUUUAUUCACUUGGAACUAAACCAUCCCAAGAUUU